rnacentral:sRNA from 1 species
GCAGGGCGCAGUGGCCCACGCCUGUCAUCCCAGCAGCUCAGGAGGCCGAGGCAGGAGGAUCGCUAGGUGGAGGCCAGCCUCCGCCACUCAGUGAGGCUUUAAGCAACUGAGAGAGACCCUGUCUCUA